UACGUAGGGUGCGAGCGUUGUCCGGAAUUAUUGGGCGUAAAGAGCUCGUAGGCGGUCUGUCGCGUCUGCUGUGAAAAUCAGGGCUCAACCCUGGACCUGCAGUGGGUACGGGCAGACUAGAGUGCGGUAGGGGAGAUCGGAAUUCCUGGUGUAGCGGUGAAAUGCGCAGAUAUCAGGAGGAACACCGGUGGCGAAGGCGGCUUUCUGGUCUGUAACUGACGCUGAGGUGCGAAAGCGUGGGGAGCAAACAGG
rnacentral:rRNA from 1 species